UGGGGAAUAUUGCACAAUGGGCGCAAGCCUGAUGCAGCCAUGCCGCGUGUGUGAAGAAGGCCUUCGGGUUGUAAAGCACUUUCAGCGAGGAGGAAGGGUAGUGUGUUAAUAGCACAUUGCAUUGACGUUACUCGCAGAAGAAGCACCGGCUAACUCCGUGCCAGCAGCCGCGGUAAUACGGAGGGUGCAAGCGUUAAUCGGAAUUACUGGGCGUAAAGCGCACGCAGGCGGUUUGUUAAGUCAGAUGUGAAAUCCCCGCGCUUAACGUGGGAACUGCAUUUGAAACUGGCAAGCUAGAGUCUUGUAGAGGGGGGUAGAAUUCCAGGUGUAGCGGUGAAAUGCGUAGAGAUCUGGAGGAAUACCGGUGGCGAAGGCGGCCCCCCUGGACAAAGACUGACGCUCAGGUGCGAA
rnacentral:rRNA from 1 species